rnacentral:misc_RNA from 1 species
AUUAAAUUUUAUUUUUUUAACCGUUUCCAAAAAAAAAUAUUUUGUUAAUAACAAUCAGUAGAUUUAAAGUCAAAUAUAAAAAUGAAAAGAAUAAAAUGUAAAUAAAAUAAAUUAAAAAUAAAAUAGCAUUAUAUCCAAACUGCCAGGAUUGAAAAUGUAGAAAGAUGAUAACCUCACUCCUUACUCCUCGGUUCUCACACAUGCAAGUUGAAGAAUGAGUGAUCAAAUUGAUGUUAUAUGAAACUUUGCUUCCAAGACCAAGCGUUCU